UACGGAGGGGGCUAGCGUUGUUCGGAAUUACUGGGCGUAAAGCGCGCGUAGGCGGCUUUGUAAGUUAGAGGUGAAAGCCCGGAGCUCAACUCCGGAACUGCCUUUAAGACUGCAUCGCUUGAAUCAUGGAGAGGUGAGUGGAAUUCCGAGUGUAGAGGUGAAAUUCGUAGAUAUUCGGAAGAACACCAGUGGCGAAGGCGACUCACUGGACAUGUAUUGACGCUGAGGUACGAAAGCGUGGGGGAGCGAACAGG
rnacentral:rRNA from 1 species